rnacentral:lncRNA from 1 species
CCAGCAACCCGUUUCAAGCAUCCUCCCAGCAUCCCGCGGCAAUCUUCUUCAGCAAUCCCGUGUCCGUGCAACCUCCCGAGAUCCCCCUUCUACCAGCUCCUCCGCAUCUCAUCCCAGCUUUCUCCUCCGUUCCAACGAUCGUGAGCAUCCCGCCGCAUCAUCCUCUCCCGUUUCUCGCCAUCAAGGAGCCACCGACCCCCUCCUCCGUGAUCUGCCCAGCAGCACGCGGCCGUUCGAAGAUCCAAUCCCAGUGAUCACGCGAUGCAUUCUCAGCUCCCCUCCGUGUCCGCCUCUUCCGCCUUCUCAGUCUCCCGCGCACAAUCCCAG